rnacentral:rRNA from 1 species
CAUAUCACUAAGCGGAGAAAAAGAAAAUAACAAUGAUUCCUAAAGUAACGGCGAGUGAAAUAGGAAAAGCCCAUAGCCGAAUCCCGUUGUCCUCGACGGCAACUGGGAAUUGUGGCGUUUGGAACUGCCUAUAGUAACCGAUCAGUCGGGCUACGCGACUCCUCUUGAUUGUGGUUUGCCCAUAGCAGGUGAAAGGCCUAUUGGUCGUAGCCUCAGCUUGAAGACUGGCGGUGAUGGUAGUCCUUAGAGUCGGGUUGUUUGGGAUUGCAGCCCGAAGUAGGUGGUAAACUCCACCUAAGGCUAAAUACGAUCGCGAGUCCGAUAGCGAACAAGUACCGUGAGGGACAGUUGAAAAGAACUUUGAAGAGAGAGUUCAAAGUACGUGAAACCGUUCAGAGGUAAACGGGUAGAAAGUCGAAUUCGAGGCUGGCAAUCAGACCGUAGCCGUGUCGGCGUUGGGCAUGCAUCACGUUAAAGGUUGUGUGUCUACGUGUCGGGCUGGCAGCGGUUGUACUUGUCGGCUUCAGAUCGUCGCGGUGACAGUGCUCGACCGUUGGCGUCUGGUCCUCUAGUUGACGAAGACCCGUUUGGGCCUUUCAACGUUAGCAUAAGGCCGGGCGUCUCGCGUACAAGACACAGUCAUGUAAAGCAGUGUAAGCGUUUCAUCUGGUCGUUCGUUCGUUGCGUACCGGUAGGUCGAUGUGAAAUCACUUCGUCCGCUGGUGUCGUGGCGUCGGCGGUCGGUUUAAAGACGAAACAAAUUCUGCAUUCGGCGACGUUUGACUACGAAUUAUCUACCCGACCCGUCUUGAAACACGGACCAAGGAGUCUAACUUGUGCGCGAGUCAUUGGGAAAUGAGUAAACCCAAAGGCGAAGUGAAAGCAAACUUGGUGAGAUCCGUCGGUGGUUUGUUAUGCGAACAUUGGCGGCGCAUCAUCGUCACGCGUCAACUCGGCUUCGGCUGAAGACGCGCAGAUAGAGCGCACAGGUUGGGACCCGAAAGAUGGUGAACUAUGCGAGGCGAGGUCGAAGUCAGAGGAAACUCUGAUGGAGGACUGUAGCGGUUCUAACGUGCAAAUUGAUCGUCGCAGCUUCGUAUAGGGGCGAAAGACUAAUCGAACCAUCUAGUAGCUGGUUCCCUCCGAAGUUUCCCUCAGGAUAGCUGGCACUUUCGGAGAGCAGUUUUGUCCGGUAAAGCGAAUGAUUAGAGGCCUUGGGGACAUAACGACCUCAACCUAUUCUCAAACUUUGAAUGGGCAAGAGGAGCAACUCACUUGAUUGGAGUUGUCUCAUGGAGAAUGCUUGAGUGCCAAGUGGGCCAUUUUUGGUAAGCAGAACUGGCGCUGUGGGAUGCUCCAAACGUUUAGCUAAGGUGCCAAAUGCUAACGCUCAUCCGAUCCCAUUAAAGGUGUUGGUUGAUAGAGACAGCAGGACGGUGGCCAUGGAAGUCGGAAACCGCCAAGGAGUGUGUAACAACUCACCUGCCGAAUCAACCAGUCCUGAAAAUGGAUGGCGCUGAAGCGUUGUGAACCUAUGCUAAACCGGCAACGUCAUGUGAAUUUGUGGUUAAACGUUGCCGAGUAGGAGGGUCGCUGUGGUAUGCGUUGAAGCUUUGGGCGUGGGCCCGAGUCGAGCUGCCACAGGUGCAGAUCUUGGUGGUAGUAGCAAAUAUUCAAACGAGAACUUUGAAGGCCGAAGUGGAGAAGGGUUCCAUGUGAACAGCAUUUGAACAUGGGUCAGUCGGUCCUAAGCGAUAGGCUAAUGCCGUUCUGAAAGCAGGCUUAAAUUUUGAU